CCCUACGGGUGGCUGCAGUAAGGAAUAUUGGUCAAUGGAGGCAACUCUGAACCAGCCAUGCCGCGUGCAGGAUGACGGCCCUAUGGGUUGUAAACUGCUUUUGUACCAGAGAAAACCCUUUUACGAGUAAGAGGUUGAUAGUAUGGUAAGAAUAAGCAUCGGCUAACUUCGUGCCAGCAGCCGCGGUAAGACGAAGGAUGCAAGCGUUAUCCGGAUUCAUUGGGUUUAAAGGGUGCGUAGGCGGACUGAUAAGUCAGUGGUGAAAUCUCUCAGCUUAACUGAGAAACUGCCAUUGAUACUGUCGGUCUAGAGUAUAGAUGACGUUGGCGGAAUAUGACAUGUAGUGGUGAAAUACUUAGAUAUGUCAUAGAACACCGAUUGCGAAGGCAGCUAACGAAACUAUAACUGACGCUGAGGCACGAAAGUGCGGGGAUCAAACAGGAUUAGAUACCCUUGUAGUC
rnacentral:rRNA from 1 species